rnacentral:rRNA from 1 species
UACGUAGGGGGCAAGCGUUGUCCGGAUUUACUGGGCGUAAAGAGCGUGUAGGCGGCCACGCAGGUCCGUUGUGAAAACUGGAGGCUCAACCUCCAGCUGUCGACGGAAACCGUAUGGCUAGAGUCCGGAAGAGGAGAGUGGAAUUCCUGGUGUAGCGGUGAAAUGCGCAGAUAUCAGGAAGAACACCAACGGCGAAGGCAGCUCGCUGGGACGGUACUGACGCUGAGACGCGAAAGCGUGGGGAGCGAACAGG